GAAUAUUGGACAAUGGGGGGAACCCUGAUCCAGCCAUGCCGCGUGUGUGAAGAAGGCCUUUUGGUUGUAAAGCACUUUAAGCGGGGAGGAGGCUACUUAGAUUAAUACUCUAGGAUAGUGGACGUUACUCGCAGAAUCAGCACCGGCUAACUCUGGGCCAGAAGCCGCGGUCAUACAGAGGGUGCAAGCGUUAGUCGGCUUUACUGGGCGUAAAGCGCGCUUAGGUGGCCAAUUAAGUCAAAUGUGAAAUCCCCGAGCUUAACUUUGGAAUUGCAUUCGAUACUGGUCGGCUAGAGUAUGGGAGAGGAUGGUAGAAUUCCAGGUGUAGCGGUGAAAUGCGUAGAGAUCUGGAGGAAUACCGAUGGCGAAGGCAGCCAUCUGGCCUAAUACUGACACUGAGGUGCGAAAGCAUGGGGAGCAAACAG
rnacentral:rRNA from 1 species